UACGGUGGAUGCAAGCGUUAUCCGGAAUGAUUGGGCGUAAAGCGUCUGUAGGUGGCUUAAAAAGUCUUCUGUCAAAGAUCAGGGCUUAACCCUGGACCGGCAGGAGAAACUCUUAGGCUAGAGUUUGGUAGAGGCAGAGGGAAUUCCCGGUGGAGCGGUGAAAUGCGUAGAGAUCGGGAGGAACACCAAAGGCGAAAGCACUCUGCUGGGCCACAACUGACACUGAGAGACGAAAGCUAGGGGAGCGAAUGGG
rnacentral:rRNA from 1 species